UACGGGGGGGGCUAGCGUUGUUCGGAAUUACUGGGCGUAAAGGGCGCGUAGGCGGCCUACUAAGUCGGACGUGAAAUCCCUCGGCUCAACCGGGGAACUGCGUCCGAUACUGGUGGGCUUGAAUCCGGGAGAGGGAUGUGGAAUUCCAGGUGUAGCGGUGAAAUGCGUAGAUAUCUGGAGGAACACCGGUGGCGAAGGCGGCAUCCUGGACCGGUAUUGACGCUGAUGCGCGAAAGCCAGGGGAGCAAACGGG
rnacentral:rRNA from 2 species